AGAGGAAGUAAAAGUCGUAACAAGGUCUCCGUUGGUGAACCAGCGGAGGGAUCAUUACUGAGUUUACGCUCUACAACCCUUUGUGAACAUACCUAUAACUGUUGCUUCGGCGGGUAGGGUCUCCGCGACCCUCCCGGCCUCCCGCCUCCGGGCGGGUCGGCGCCCGCCGGAGGAUAACCAAACUCUGAUUUAACGACGUUUCUUCUGAGUGGUACAAGCAAAUAAUCAAAACUUUUAACAACGGAUCUCUUGGUUCUGGCAUCGAUGAAGAACGCAGCGAAAUGCGAUAAGUAAUGUGAAUUGCAGAAUUCAGUGAAUCAUCGAAUCUUUGAACGCACAUUGCGCCCGCCAGCAUUCUGGCGGGCAUGCCUGUUCGAGCGUCAUUUCAACCCUCAAGCUCUGCUUGGUGUUGGGGCCCUACAGCCGAUGUAGGCCCUCAAAGGUAGUGGCGGACCCUCCCGGAGCCUCCUUUGCGUAGUAACUUUACGUCUCGCACUGGGAUCCGGAGGGACUCUUGCCGUAAAACCCCCCAAUUUUCCAAAGGUUGACCUCGGAUCAGGUAGGAAUACCCGCUGAACUUAAGCAUA
rnacentral:rRNA from 1 species